GGUUUAAUUCGAAGCAACGCGAAGAACCUUACCAGGGCUUGACAUGCCGCUGACCGGUGCAGAGAUGCAUCUUUAUCCUUCGGGGUACAGCGGACACAGGUGGUGCAUGGUUGUCGUCAGCUCGUGUCGUGAGAUGUUGGUUAAGUCCCGCAACGAGCGCAACCCUUGUCUUUAGUUGCCAUCCAUUAAGUUUGGGCACUCUAAAGAGACUGCCGAUGACAAAUCGGAGGAAGGUGGGGAUGACGUCAAAUCAUCAUGCCCUUUAUGUCCUGGGCUACACACGUGCUACAAUGGUCGGUACAACGAGAAGCAAGUCAGCGAUGGCAAGCAAAUCUCUAAAAGCCGAUCCCAGUUCGGAUUGCAGGCUGCAACUCGCCUGCAUGAAGUCGGAGUUGCUAGUAAUCGCGGAUCAGAAUGCCGCGGUGAAUGCGUUCCCGGGUCUU
rnacentral:rRNA from 2 species